rnacentral:rRNA from 1 species
CUGGUUGAUCCUGCCGGAGGCUAUUGCUAUCGGGAUCCGAUUCAGGCAUGCUAGUCGUACGAGUUCAUACUCGUGGCGUAUAGCUCAGUGACACGUGGUCAAACUACCCUCUGGACUGGGAUACCCUCGGGAAACUGAGGUCAAUCCCGGAUACUGCUUCCGUGUUGGAACACAGGAAGCUGGAAACGGUCCGCCGCCGGAGGACGUGACUGCGGCUGAUUANGUAGACGGGUGGGGUAACGGCCCAGCGUGCCGAUAAGUCAGUACGGGNUUGUGAGAGCAAGAGCCCGGAGACGGAAUCUGAGACAAGAUUCCGGGCCCUACGGGGCGCAGCAGCCGCGAAACCUUUACACUGCACGCCAGUGGCGAUAAGGGGGAUCCCNGAGUGGGAGGGCAUACAGUCCUCGCUUUUCGCGAGCCGUAAGGGGGGUCGCAGAAAUAAGGGGCUGGGGCAAGAGCGGUGGCAAGCCGCCGCGGUAAUACCGGCAGCCCGAGUGAUAGCCCAAUUUUAUUGGGGCUAAAGCGGUCGUAGCUGGCNCAACAGGGUCCGUCGGGAAAUCACCCGGCUAAAGGGGGNGGCCCGUCCGCGGGACCCAGGUCCGGCUUUGGGGCGAGANGAGCCAAGGGGGGGACGUCCCCGGGGGGAAGGGAGUGAAAUCUGUAAUCCCUGGACGGGACCACCGGGUGGGGAAAGCGCUUUUUGGGAGAGG